rnacentral:lncRNA from 1 species
ACCCAACGCCUCGGGCCUUCCUCACGAACGUCUUCUGCCAACAUAGUACGUCGAGGCAUUCCUUGGUGAAUAAAUACAUUGUGUCUCGAGGCAUUCCCCAGCUAAAUAAAUACAUUUGAAUUAAACACGAUAAACUAGAAACCAAACAUUCACACGCACAUUAAACAUUCAAAACAUUUAAUAAACACAUCACUCCUAAGUUUUGCCUACCCAGACCGACAUUUGCCUAUCCAUUUCAACAUAUCAUAAUUCUAUCACAUUCCAACAAUAUUCAUGCUCAUUACGAAUUAAACAAAACAACAAUAAACCAAAGUUAAUCUAAAUUCAACUUUUUAUCAAUUUCUCAAUUCCAUCCCCACACAACCAAUUUCAAUUCUCAAACGAGAUUCCAUUUCACCAAACCAUAAUCAAGCAAACCAACUACGGGUCAAAAUAAACACGCAUUCAUCACCAACAAGGAUCAAAUAACACGCAAUAUUCAAUCCAACACCAAAUAUAAUAAACAAUGAAAUAAAAAAAAGAAAGAGAGUAGAAUUGAACCUUAAUUUGAAGCUUUUAAACUCAAUGUUAUUCGAAUAAAGAGAGUCCGCAGUCGGAAACCUCGAGUCGAACCUUCACACCAACAAUCCAACUCGACAAUGAGAAAUAAUGACCCGUUCACCGACACUGUUCACGCCGUUACUGUUCACCGACACUGUUUACGUCGAAUUCCCAUUGUUCAGACCCUUUUUCUCUCUCGAUUUUUUUAUCUCGCGCGAUUCUCUCUCCCUUAUUUUUUUCUGUUCUUGUGAGGAAGAUGAUUUGGUGAUUGUUGUUAUUGUGGAGAAGAUGAUGAUGAAAGAAUGAGCCUCUCCCUUUUCCCCUUUUAGAAUAUUCCUUUUAUAUUUUUUAUUUGAUUUUUCUUUUUCUUUAAUUAUUAUCCUAUGUGGAAGCAUAUAAUUGGUGGCUUGUGGGAAUAAGUGUGUGACAUGUGAAAAAGUUAGUGCGACAUGUGAAAAAAUGAGUAGGGCGUGUGCCUUUUGUAUGUAUCCAAUGAAAAAUGGAAAGUGAGGUGUUGAGGUGGCAUAGUGAGGUGACAAACAUGCUAUGGAUUUAAUUAUUUUCAAUUCUUUUUUGGGGGAGAAAUUAUCAAUUAAACAAAAGUAUGGUAAGGUGAAUAAAAUAAAAAUAAAAAUUAAAAAAAUAAAAUAAAAUAAAAAUGAUUAAAAUAUUUUCGGGAAAGGACAAAAGUAUGUGUCUACAAAUAUAAAUUUAAAAUCUGCGUAUAUGUACCUGCACGAGUAGUAGAUAUUGAUGCCCCAUUGGGUGAUGGUGUACUUGGUGUGGAUGAUCCAGUAAGAGGAGCAGCCCCGGAGAAAAUGCAAAAGGAGUAGAAGAUUUGGUUAAAGAUAACACAUUACCUCAAUGUACGAUCAAAUAAUCACAAGUAUCAAGAUGACAAAAUAUCCUUGUAGUAAAUCUUCAGGUAGGGGCCUUGGGGGGAUUGGUGGUGGAAUGAAGAGGUGGGGAAGAAAGUGGAGACCAAGAAAGAGGCGUAUGCUAAGUUGGUGGAAAGCAAGGACGAAGAAGAGAAGCGGGUAAACAGGAAAGAGUACAAGCUAGCGAGGAAGGAGGCGAAGUCAGCGGUCACGGCAGCUAAGACGGCCGCUUUUGAGAGCUUGUAUGCAGGGUUACAGGGGAAAGGAGGGGAGAAAAAGUUGUUCCGACUCGCUAAGGCUAGGGAGAGGAAGGGUCGUGACCUCGAUCAGGUGAGGUGCAUUAAGGGGGAGGACGGUAGAGUGUUGGUGGAGGACGGUCACAUAAAGAAGAGAUGGCAGUCGUACUUUCAUAGGCUCUUGAAUGACGAGGGGGACAGAGCUAUUGUGUUAGGAGAACUGGAGCACUCAGGGGAGUGUCGGGGAAGGGGUAGGGCGGCGGGUCCGGAUGAGAUACCUGUGGAGUUUUGAAAGUUCGUUGGAGAGGCUGGUGUAAGGUGGUUGACUGCAUUGUUCAAUGAAAUUUUCAGGACGGCAAAGAUGCCCGAGGCGUGGAGGGGGAGUACCAUGAUCCCCCUCUAUAAGAAUAAGGGGGACAUUCAGUGUUGCAAUAACUAUAGGGGGAUUAAGUUACUGAGUCACUCUAUGAAGAUAUGGGAGAGAGUGGUCGAGGUGAGGCUGAGACGGAUAGUGUCUAUCUCGGAAAACCAGUUCGGAUUUAUGCCCGGCCGCUCGACGACGGAGGCAAUCCACCUGGUACGGAGGUUGGUGGAGCAGUAUAGGGAGAGGAAGAAGGAUCUGCACAUGGUGUUCAUCGACCUGGAAAAGGCGUACGACAAAGUCCCCAGGGAAGUACUUUGGAGAUGCCUGGAGGUGAGUGGAGUACCGCAGGCAUAUAUCAG